ACGCAAGAACGACAGCCUCCCUGUCAGAGGAAGAAGAGGAAGAGCACAAUGAAGAGAAAGAGACACCAUCAUUCAAUAAUACACUUGCAACCAGUUCGGACACUAACACUGCACGUAUUUUAGAGUUUGGGAUAGGGAAGAGAUCUGCAUGUGGUGAGUCACCGGACACAAGAGACCAGGAGCCAGAGUGACAAGGAAAGAUAGCACAGCUCACCAUAGGGUGCAGUCAUUCGUUCUGCUACAGUGGACACAGAUGAGGACUUUGAUGGAUCAGGCUACAGGAGAAGGCCAAUGACACAACCAAAUGCUUGGUGCAUUGGGAAGCCUGCGGCAAAGUCUGUGCUCAAUGUCACGGAGCAUGGAGGAAUCCAACAGCAACAGGGCUUUGUUCAGAGCUUGGAGCCCAGCAUUUUCAACAUGUCAACUCCAUCAACACAGCUGUCGAACCCACCAUGAUGCAGAAUUGGAUAGCUGAUGUCACAGCUUCCAUUGCAGCACCGACAGUUUCCAUCAAAGGUCUGAAAGUUCCUUGCAAACUCAGCUGCUACCAUCAUAGUCCUGGAUACCAAGGCUCAAAGGGAUUUGCAGGAUGUGACAGCAAUCCAUCAAUCCAUUCUCCAAAAGACCAGCAAGUUUACUGAGGUACCGCCCUAAGAGAAUGGCAGUGACUCCAUGGAGGACAAAGCUCUUGGGGUGACAGCAUUUGUGCUCACACCCAUCCAGUCCACCAGUGUCCUUGCUUAUAUGUCAGUCAGUCCAGACUGCUGUAGCCCAAGCCAAGAUGGUACAUUCUGAUGUCCAAAGCUGUUCAAGGCCUUUUACAAUCUCCUCAGCAAUGUUUCACAAGCUAUGCUGCAGCAACAGGGGAAGAAACCCAUUGGAGCACAAGGAGAGGCAAAGACAUGGAAAUCAGGCUUCUGCAUCAUGCCCUAUUCCAUUACAGCGGUGACAUGUUUGGAAGUUAAUUUAGAUGUCUGAAUGCAGUGCAUCCAGGCCACGGGAUUUAUCCUCUGAGUUUGGAUGUAACCUUUGAGAACAACAAAAUUCCUGGAGUAUAAACAUUCAUUCACCUGGCUGGGGUGAACCCAUCCUAUCCAUGGCGAAUGCAAGUACUGUAAUUCAUUUACCUCAGCUGAAGACACUACGACCAGGAAAGGAUCUGAUCAUAACACAUGAGUGUUACAUCAACACCUUUUAAACAACCUUUAGAAUCCAUGUAUCAUAGUGAUGCUUUCCCAUAAGGUUGUGGAUUCCUGCGGAGGAUCUCCUACCCAGAUCUCCAACAUCCGCAGUAUUUUGCUUUGAUUUCAGGUAUGGCACCACAAUGGACUUCACACUACUUAAUGUAAAACACAAGAGAUGCAAGACUGACCUGCUCCACAGAAUCUCAGACUGCUUCAUUCCACAAUCAGCUCAGGCCCUGACCUUGGAUGUUCCAGUAAAGCUACAACUUUGGCAUCUACCCAGCAAUGUGGAAAAUUUCCCAGGUAUGUCCUGUACACAAAGAGCAGGACAAAUCCAACCCGGCCAAUUACCGCCCCAUCAGUCUACUCUUGAUCAUCAGCAAAAUGACGAAAGGGGUCACCAACUGCGUUAUCAAGUGGCACUUGCUUAAUAACCUGCUCACUGAUGCACAGCCCAUGAAUGAAUUUUUUUAAAAUGUUCAAUGAAUUUGUUUUACAUCUAUGGUGAACAUGCAGUGUAAAGACAUUUGGAUAAAUGAAGAUUGCCAGCUACACUGGAGGAAAUAUGCUAAAGGGGGGCAAAAUGUUACAAAACAGCACCAUCAAUUAUACGAGCCAGAAUUCUAUGUGUUAAAACAAGUGAAAAAAAUGUCCAACAUCAUCAGGGUGGGUACUGUAGUAGACUACCACAUAGUCUUAGAACCUUGCAAAAUGAAUUACAUAAAAGAAGAAAGAAUGAGUGCACUUGCAUUUAUAUAGCCUUUCAGGUCCUUAGGACAUCUCAAAGGCUUCACACGCAGUCCGCUUUGAAAUGCACCCACUGUCAUAAUGUAAAUGAAUGUGACAGAGACCUUUCACACAGCAAGAUAUCACAUACAGCAAUGACACAGUUACCAGUUUAUCUGCUUUGGUGAAGGUUAGUGAAGUAAUAAUUUUGACCAGGACAGAGAAGCUGCUUAUGGUAAAUGUCAACAAACAGGCUAGCUGUAUUGUCUGUUGCUUUAACAAUUUAUGGUUAUGGGGGCAAGGAAAUUGAAAAUAACAGCAUUCACAAAUUUGUGGGGGAGGGAGAAAAAUAAAGCAAGUAAGUGUUUCUUGCUACCUGAAAACAUUCCCCUUUCAUCAAUACUGGCUGCUGCAGGCCUUCAGUAAGGACAUUUUAACAUGUGCCUUGAAAACACUGAAUGUUACACUAUACCUAAAGAGUUGAAUGGGCAUCCCAAUUAUAUAGCAUGCUUUCAUACACCUUGAUACAAUUUCUAUAAAACUGCACUGGGACACAGUGUUUUAUACAUGGAUGACUCUACAGGAGUGCUGAUGAAUGCACUACUUCAUUUAAUCCAGGGAAUUAAUAAGCAAUUAUAGAGCAAAAUAGUUGAGGUGGAAAAGUGAAAUUUUGUGCCAAUCAGAAAGAAGAACUAUGGUGCUGGCAUCAAAACACGUGAAACUGAAGUUUGUGAAUAUUGCCUGCAUUUUGUUUUACCCACAGAUCAAUUCAGAAACUGACCUUUAGA